GACGAACGCUGGCGGCGUGCUUAACACAUGCAAGUCGAACGGAAAGGCCCUGCUUUUGUGGGGUGCUCGAGUGGCGAACGGGUGAGUAACACGUGAGUAACCUGCCCUUGACUUUGGGAUAACUUCACGAAACUGGGGCUAAUACCGGAUAGGAUCUCCUGCUGCACGUUGGUGGUUGGAAAGUUUCGGCGGUUGGGGAUGGACUGGCGGGUUAUGCGCUUGUUGGUGGGGUAGUGGCUUUCCAAGGCUUUGACGGGUAGGCGGCCUGGGAGGGGGAACGGGGACAAUGGGACUGAGGGAGGGCGCAGACGGGAACGGGAGGCAGCGGGGGGGAGUCUGACGGAGUGGGCGGGAGCGUGAGGCGGCGACGCCGGGUGCGGGAUAACGGCCUUCGGGUUGAAAACCACUUUCGCAUGUAACGAGGCGUGAGUGACGGUAAUGGGUAAAAAAGCACCGGCUAACUACGUG
rnacentral:rRNA from 1 species